GUUGAACGCUAGCGGCAUGCCUUACACAUGCAAGUCGAACGGCAGCACGGGGGCAACCCUGGUGGCGAGUGGCGAACGGGUGAGUAAUGCAUCGGAACGUGCCCAUCGAUGGGGGAUAACUGCGCGAAAGCGUUGCUAAUACCGCAUACGACCUACGGGUGAAAGCAGGGGACCGCAAGGCCUUGCGUCGAUGGAGCGGCCGAUGCCGGAUUAGCUAGUUGGUGAGGUAAAGGCUCACCAAGGCGACGAUCCGUAGCUGGUCUGAGAGGACGACCCAGCCACACUGGGACUGAGACACGGCCCAGACUCCUACGGGAGGCAGCAGUGGGGAAUCUUGGACAAUGGGCGAAAGCCUGAUCCAGCAAUGCCGCGUGUGGGAAGAAGGCCUUCGGGUUGUAAACCACUUUUGGCGGGAAGAAAUGGUCUGUGCUAAUACCACGGAUUGAUGACGGUACCCGCAGAAUAAGCACCGGCUAACUACGUG
rnacentral:rRNA from 1 species